GAUCGGCCCGCGUCUGAUUAGCUAGUUGGUGUGGUAACGGCGCACCAAGGCGACGAUCGGUAGCUGGUCUGAGAGGAUGAUCAGCCACAUUGGGACUGAGACACGGCCCAAACUCCUACGGGAGGCAGCAGUGGGGAAUAUUGGACAAUGGGCGCAAGCCUGAUCCAGCCAUGCCGCGUGAGUGAUGAAGGCCCUAGGGUUGUAAAGCUCUUUCGCCCACGACGAUAAUGACGGUAGUGGGAGAAGAAGCCCCGGCUAACUUCGUGCCAGCAGCCGCGGUAAUACGAAGGGGGCUAGCGUUGUUCGGAAUUACUGGGCGUAAAGCGCGUGUAGGCGGGUCCUUAAGUCAGGAGUGAAAUGCCGAGGCUCAACCUCGGAACUGCCUUUGAUACUGGGGAUCUUGAGUCCGGGAGAAGUGAGUGGAACUGCGAGUGUAAAAGUUAAAUUCGUAGAUAUUCGCAAGAACACCCGUGGGGAAGGCGGGUUCCUGGCCCGGAACUGACACUUAUACCCCAAAGCGUGGGGGAGCAAAACAGGAAUAGAUUCCCCUGGUAGUUCCACACCUGUAAACGAUGGGAUGCUUAGCCCGUUGGGGAACCUUGGCUCUUCCAUGGCCACAACUUAACGCCUUUUAAGCAUC
rnacentral:rRNA from 1 species